rnacentral:rRNA from 1 species
CAUGGCUCAGGACGAACGCUGGCGGCGUGCCUAAUACAUGCAAGUCGAACGCUUUUUCUUUCACCGGAGCUUGCUCCACCGAAAGAAAAGGAGUGGCGAACGGGUGAGUAACACGUGGGUAACCUGCCCAUCAGAAGGGGAUAACACUUGGAAACAGGUGCUAAUACCGUAUAACAAUCGAAACCGCAUGGUUUCGGUUUGAAAGGCGCUUUUGCGUCACUGAUGGAUGGACCCGCGGUGCAUUAGCUAGUUGGUGAGGUAACGGCUCACCAAGGCAACGAUGCAUAGCCGACCUGAGAGGGUGAUCGGCCACAUUGGGACUGAGACACGGCCCAAACUCCUACGGGAGGCAGCAGUAGGGAAUCUUCGGCAAUGGACGCAAGUCUGACCGAGCAACGCCGCGUGAGUGAAGAAGGUUUUCGGAUCGUAAAACUCUGUUGUUAGAGAAGAACAAGGAUGAGAGUAGAAUGUUCAUCCCUUGACGGUAUCUAACCAGAAAGCCACGGCUAACUACGUGCCAGCAGCCGCGGUAAUACGUAGGUGGCAAGCGUUGUCCGGAUUUAUUGGGCGUAAAGCGAGCGCAGGCGGUUUCUUAAGUCUGAUGUGAAAGCCCCCGGCUCAACCGGGGAGGGUCAUUGGAAACUGGGAAACUUGAGUGCAGAAGAGGAGAGUGGAAUUCCAUGUGUAGCGGUGAAAUGCGUAGAUAUAUGGAGGAACACCAGUGGCGAAGGCGGCUCUCUGGUCUGUAACUGACGCUGAGGCUCGAAAGCGUGGGGAGCAAACAGGAUUAGAUACCCUGGUAGUCCACGCCGUAAACGAUGAGUGCUAAGUGUUGGAGGGUUUCCGCCCUUCAGUGCUGCAGCUAACGCAUUAAGCACUCCGCCUGGGGAGUACGACCGCAAGGUUGAAACUCAAAGGAAUUGACGGGGGCCCGCACAAGCGGUGGAGCAUGUGGUUUAAUUCGAAGCAACGCGAAGAACCUUACCAGGUCUUGACAUCCUUUGACCACUCUAGAGAUAGAGCUUCCCCUUCGGGGGCAAAGUGACAGGUGGUGCAUGGUUGUCGUCAGCUCGUGUCGUGAGAUGUUGGGUUAAGUCCCGCAACGAGCGCAACCCUUAUUGUUAGUUGCCAUCAUUUAGUU